AUUUGUUGGGAGGCUUGUUUAUUACUGAUUUAAUUUCACAGCAGGUAAUUGGUCUGUUCCAAUUUUGUACUUCUUCUUGCUUCAGUUUUGGGAAGAUAAAUAUUU